GUCCCCCCCAAAAACCAAAGCACACAUGGAGGGAUCCUGCACUAUGGGACGGCCGGGCUCCCCCCUCACCCCACAGGGUCGUCACACCCAACCGAAAGCAGCCCCCGCCUCGGCACCAGAGAUCAGGAACACACGAGAUGUUGUUCAUCCAUCUCAGAAACGACAGCAAACGGACAUCUCUGAAGAUUUCAUCUCAAUGGAUUCAGUUGAACCAGUUAUACCACAAGCUUUCCCAAAGCUGAAGAAAAUAUGCGUGGAGUGCCCAAGCAGUAAGAAAAACACCCGCCCUGAGAAGUCACAGGAUGCUGAAUGCAGGAGUGGAUUUAAGAUACAGAACUUUGCCUGCAAGGGUUACAUUUGGGAAGAAAGAGAGAGACUGAGCAGACAUGCAAAACAAACAGCUGUUCAGCCAGUAAACUGAGUUUGGUCGUUUCUCUGAUGAGGAAAGUCCUGCAGGAGACAAGAGCAUAUGUGCACAGAUUUUCCAUACCUGGUCCCAACAACUAUUGGAGUCUGGGCAGCAUCCGCCAAGAACUGACCAACUCUAGGGGACAUCUUGUUCACAGUUUCAUAGAUGUAAGCUGCAAUUGCAUCGGGGAUGACCAACCAGUCACGACGGUCCCUCUCAAAGAUGGACUUUGAGUGCACUUCUGAGAAGGAGGAGGCAAAAAAGGCAUGAGGUUUCUCCAGUCCCUCUGAUGUCUUCCCCCACACGCAAUGGGAAGAGACAUGAAAUUCUCAGGUUCAGAGCCUCCCCCAGAAUUUGCUCUAGCUGCAUCCAGCAGCACCUCACUGCUAAUUUUGGGGCACCUGAGUCACAGGCUUUCCGUGCUAGAAUAUUUGCACCAGGUAUGGGUGGUUUGUACACCAAGCUCCUACUGUCUGGUUUCACUCUAGCUAGCACCAUAUAUUCAUGUUUUUACCUUGUGGAUAGGACAUAUAUUCAUGUUUUUACCUUAUGGAUAGGACAGGCUUCUCUAAGGCAAGUGAAAAACUGUUAUAAAAGCUUUUCAGACUUACCGGGAACGGUGGUGCUAAGGAGCAGGAUCAGAGCUAUCACCAGUGCCCUGGAUUGCACCAUGGUUUGCGGUACCAGUUCAGCCCCGCGCACCAGGAGACCUGCUGGAAUCACAACACAAUGCUUUGUUUGUUUUCAGAGAAAUAAAACAUGUCUGUUAAACACAUUUGUGCAACAAACCUAAUGAAUAAAU